rnacentral:rRNA from 1 species
AACCUCCGCAAUGUGAGAAAUCGCGACGGGGGGAUCCCAAGUGCCAUUCUUAACGGGAUGGCUUUUCAUUAGUGUAAAGAGCUUUUGAAAUAAGAGCUGGGCAAGACCGGUGCCAGCCGCCGCGGUAACACCGGCAGCUCUAGUGGUAACAAUUUUUAUUGGGCCUAAAGCGUCCGUAGCCGGUUUAAUAAGUCUCUGGUGAAAUCCUGUAGCUUAACUGUGGGAAUUGCUGGAGAUACUAUUAGACUUGAGACCGGGAGAGGUUAGAGGUACUCCCAGGGUAGAGGUGAAAUUCUGUAAUCCUGGGAGGACCGCCUGUUGCGAAGGCGUCUAACUGGAACGGUUCUGACGGUGAGGGACGAAAGUUAGGGGCGCGAACCGGGAUUUAGAUACCCGGGUAGUCCUAACUGUAAACGAUGCGGACUUGGUGUUGGGGUGGCUUUGAGCUGCUUCAGUGCCGAAGGGAAGCUGUUAAGUCCGCCGCCUGGGAAGUACGGUCGCAAGACUGAAACUUAAAGGAAUU